rnacentral:rRNA from 1 species
AGAGUUUGAUCCUGGCUCAGAACGAACGCUGGCGGCGUGCUUAACACAUGCAAGUCGAACGGGAUCCAGAGCUUGCUCUGGUGAGAGUGGCGCACGGGUGAGUAACGCGUGGAUAACCUGCCCUGGUAUCCGGAAUAACAUCUCGAAAGGGGUGCUAAUACCGGAUAAGCCUACGGAGCCUUCGGUCUCUGCAGGAAAAGGUGGCCUCUAUUUAUAAGCUACCGUAUCAGGAUGGGUCCGCGUACCAUUAGCUAGUUGGUGGGGUAAUGGCCUACCAAGGCGACGAUGGUUAGCUGGUCUGAGAGGAUGAUCAGCCACACUGGAACUGAGACACGGUCCAGACUACUACGGGAGGCAGCAGUGGGGAAUUUUGCGCAAUGGGGGAAACCCUGGCGCAGCAACGCCGCGUGAGUGAUGAAGGCUUUCGGGUCGUAAAGCUCUGUCAGAGGGGAAGAAAUGAGAUUGGCUAAUAUCCAAUUUUCUUGACGGUACCCUCAAAGGAAGCACCGGCUAACUCCGUGCCAGCAGCCGCGGUAA